rnacentral:rRNA from 1 species
AUUGAACGCUGGCGGCAUGCUUUACACAUGCAAGUCGAACGGUAACAGGUUAAGCUGACGAGUGGCGAACGGGUGAGUAAUGCAUCGGAACGUGCCCGAUCGUGGGGGAUAACACUUCGAAAGAAGUGCUAAUACCGCAUACGAUCUGAGGAUGAAAGCGGGGGACCGUAAGGCCUCGCGCGAUCGGAGCGGCCGAUGUCAGAUUAGGUAGUUGGUGGGGUAAAGGCUCACCAAGCCGACGAUCUGUAGCUGGUCGGAGAGGACGACCAGCCACACGGGGACUGAGACACGGCCCAGACUCCUACGGGAGGCAGCAGUGGGGAAUUUUGGACAAUGGGCGCAAGCCUGAUCCAGCAAUGCCGCGUGCAGGAAGAAGGCCUUCGGGUUGUAAACUGCUUUUGUACGGAGCGAAAAGGCUCCCUCUAAUACAGGGGGCUCAUGACGGUACCGUAAGAAUAAGCACCGGCUAACUACGUGCCAGCAGCCGCCGUAA